GACCAAGGAGUCUAACAUGUGCGCGAGUCAUUGGGUCUUGAAUAGGCCCAAAGGCGUAAUGAAAGUGAAGGGCGGUUCGGCCGUCUGCCUUGGGAUCCCGUGAACCUCGCGUUCGCGGGCGCACCAAGGGCCCGUCCCGGUCGCCUCGUCGACGGGGCGGAGCAAGAGCGUACACGUUGGGACCCGAAAGAUGGUGAACUAUGCCUGGGCAGGACGAAGCCAGAGGAAACUCUGGUGGAGGUCCGCAGCGAUUCUGACGUGCAAAUCG
rnacentral:rRNA from 1 species